UAACUCCUUUCAUGAAAUCUGGUAAUCGAUGGACUAAUGGUCAUUCGAGUAUUGAAUUACGACCCGGUCCAAAACAUGAAUAUAACAACGCAAUGGAACCUUUUUUUUUGCGGGAAAAGUAAUGGAACCUUGAUAACGCACACCACAACCUUGAUGAAGCCAUCUAUAGAUAUGGGGUUUCAUAAAAUUAUUAGAUAACCAAAACUGUAACUGAUAGUGAAAUUAAGUAACAGUAAAACUCACCUAGCUACGCCUUCUCACAGCGUUUUGAGAGUAUCAGCCGUCCGAUGGAUCUAAUUGACACUCCAGAUCAUUUUCACUCGGUCUAUGCUUUGUGUUCUGGUCGGCCCAACAUAACGGGGCCGCUACUCUGGAGAACAACCUGGACGUCCUCCUGUGAAUCGGGCCGUAUUGUGGUUAUUGCCUGAUUGGGCCAGUUCAUCGGUUCAGUUGUGUGGGCUUUCAAACGCCUCGAAAGACCAUGAGGCACCGUGUGUGUGGCGGCCGCAAUUGCUUCGUGCAAUUAAUCGCAGAAGAAUCAUGGCGGCGACGACUAUGGGCAAGAUGGCGACGGCGGCGGGCGAUGCAGAGGAUGACUGGAUGAGGAUGCGGCGUCAACGGCUCGAGGACGACGCGGAGGAGGCAGGGGAUGCAGCGGUGUCUCUGGUUCAAGAGAAGGAGAAGGCGGGGGCGACCUCUGGCAAUCAUCUUCCACGGUGCAUGCUUGACAGUCCACACCGAAGUACCGAACAGAUAUGUGUUUCGUGGAUGUGCUAGGGGCAGCAAAUGUCCUUAUUAAUUUUCUGCCCUAUGCAUCAGAUGAUCGUGGGAUUCGUGGCGUACUCGAUCUGUACCAAUAAUCCCUUUCCCCGUGACAUUCCUCCUUCUGAAUACUGACUGGGAAAGUGCUGCAUUAUCUCAUCACUAUGUUACAUUCAGUGGUAUUGAUGGAUUUCAAGUGAAAUCACUUAACUGUUAGCUACCUUAUAAAAUAGCAGCUUAAGUAUAUUGAUGGCUUCUUAUCCUUGCUUAGAUGCCUCGGUACAACUCAGCUCAGAUCUGCCCAAUUCGGAACAGUUAGCUGCCGCUCUGUCGAUUAAAUGAGUACUGUUGUGAGCUAGAUGUGUUAACGGAGUAACGAUGUGUGGACAUAAGACAGAUGCAGAGCAAGUUGAACUAGAAGUGCUAACAUGAUUAUGAAACAUCCUAUUAUGAAACAUCCGUCUGAAAGAUUUCACAUGGAAAGAUAAGUUUCUAGGUCAUGUGAAAUCUUAAAGUGCUAACCGAUUAGCUACUUUCAUGUCUUAUUUCCGUUGUCUCGAGGUAAGCUUGUUUCCUUUGGUAAUAAGCCUUUAAGAAAAAGCGCAGAUUGCUAAAAACGAGAUUUGCACCACUGGUUCAGCUUGAUCGAGAUUUUAUUGCCUUAGAAGUUAGAAUAUUAGGUUUUAUAAUUAUACAUCCGUUUUUCGAAUUUACUCCACAACACAAUUAGGAUUAUUUGUACUAUGGCAUCUUGUUUCCAUUGGCAUUAACUGUAGAUUGAGGAGCAACUGAGUUUUCCCCCUAAGAAAAAGGAGCAAUCGUGUAAAGAUACACCUGCAUCUUAAUUAUUGUGCAACAUGGGCACAAACGAAAUGCAACAUUUUUUCCUCCAUUUAUUGGAGUUCAUAUUAUAGAAAGGAAUAACCCAAAAAGUAAAGAGUGUCAAACAAAAUCA